GCCGAGGUAGUCUAGUCUGGUAAGGCGCGGGACUUGAAAUCCCGUGGAGUUUCUCCUCCUGAGUUCAAAUCUCAGUCUCGGCG
rfam:Methanobrevibacter millerae strain SM9, complete genome.